UACGUAGGUGGCAAGCGUUGUCCGGAUUUACUGGGCGUAAAGAGCGCGCAGGCGGUCGUUCAAGUCGCGUGUGAAAGCCCCCGGCUCAACUGGGGAGGGUCACGCGAUACUGAUCGACUCGAAGGCAGGAGAGGGUAGUGGAAUUCCCGGUGUAGUGGUGAAAUGCGUAGAUAUCGGGAGGAACACCAGUGGCGAAGGCGGGUUGCUGGGCUGACACUGGCGCUGAGGCGCGAAAGCUAGGGGAGCGAACGGG
rnacentral:rRNA from 1 species